ACAGUCACAGUUCGGAUUGAAGGCUGAAAUUCGCCUUCAUGAAGCCGGAAUUGCUAGUAAUGGCAGGUCAGCAUACUGCCGUGAAUACGUUCCCGGGCCUUGUACACACCGCCCGUCACACCAUGAGAGUUGGAGAUACCCGAAGCCUGUGAGCUAACUUUUAGAGGCAGCAGUCGAAGGUAGAAUCAAUGAUUGGGGUGAAGUCGUAACAAGGUACC
rnacentral:rRNA from 1 species